UACAGAGGUCCCAAGCGUUGUUCGGAUUUACUGGGCGUAAAGGGUGCGUAGGCGGUGGGGUAAGUUUGAGGUGGAAAGCUCCGGGCUCAACCCGGAAAAUGCCUUGAAAACUAUCCGGCUAGAGGGUUGGAGGGGAGACUGGAAUUCUCGGUGUAGCAGUGAAAUGCGUAGAUAGUCUGGAGGAACACCGGGUGGCGAAGGCGGCAUCCUGGACCGACAUUGACGCUGAGGAGCGAAAGCCAGGGGAGCAAACGGG
rnacentral:rRNA from 1 species